UACGAAGGGGGCUAGCGUUGCUCGGAAUCACUGGGCGUAAAGCGCACGUAGGCGGCUUCUUAAGUCAGGGGUGAAAUCCUGGAGCUCAACUCCAGAACUGCCUUUGAUACUGGCGAUCUUGAGUCCGGGAGAGGUGAGUGGAACUGCGGGUGUAGAGGUGAAAUUCGUAGAUAUUCGCAAGAACACCAGUGGCGAAGGCGGCUCACUGGCCCGGUACUGACGCUGAGGUGCGAAAGCGUGGGGAGCAAACAGGG
rnacentral:rRNA from 1 species